CCUACGUGGGGCAGCAGUGGGGAAUAUUGGACAAUGGGCGAAAGCCUGAUCCAGCCAUGCCGCGUGUGUGAAGAAGGCCUUCGGGUUGUAAAGCACUUUCAGUGGGGAAGAAAGCCUUGGGGCUAAUACCCUCGAGGAAGGACAUCACCCACAGAAGAAGCACCGGCUAACUCCGUGCCAGCAGCCGCGGUAAUACGGAGGGUGCGAGCGUUAAUCGGAAUUACUGGGCGUAAAGCGCGCGUAGGCGGUCUGAUAAGCCGGUUGUGAAAGCCCCGGGCUCAACCUGGGAACGGCAUCCGGAACUGUCAGGCUAGAGUGCAGGAGAGGAAGGUAGAAUUCCCGGUGUAGCGGUGAAAUGCGUAGAGAUCGGGAGGAAUACCAGUGGCGAAGGCGGUCUUCUGGACUGACACUGACGCUGAGGUGCGAAAGCGUGGGUAGCAAACAGGAUUAGAUACCCUUGUAGUC
rnacentral:rRNA from 1 species